rnacentral:rRNA from 1 species
GAUGAACGCUGGCGGCGUGCUUAACACAUGCAAGUCGAACGGAAAGGCCCAAGCUUGCUUGGGUACUCGAGUGGCGAACGGGUGAGUAACACGUGGGUGAUCUGCCCUGCACUUCGGGAUAAGCCCGGGAAACUGGGUCUAAUACCGGAUAGGACGAUGGUUUGGAUGCCAUUGUGGAAAGUUUUUUCGGUGUGGGGUGUGCUCGCGGCCUAUCAGCUGGUUGGGGGGGUAUUGGCCUACCAAGGCGUCGACGGGUAGCCGGCCUGAGAGGGUGUACGGCGACAUUGGGGCUGAGAUACGGCCCAGACUCCUACGGGGGGCAGCAGUGGGGAAUAUUGCACAAUGGGGGCGAGCCUGAUGCAGCGACGCCGCGUGGGGGAUGACGGCGUUCGGGUUGUAAACACCUUUCGCUAGGGACGAAGCGUUUUUGUGACGGUACCUGGAGAAGAAGCACCGGCUAACUACGUG